CCUACGGGAGGCAGCAGUGAGGAAUAUUGGUCAAUGGGCGGGAGCCUGAACCAGCCAAGUAGCGUGAGGGAGGAAUGCCCUACGGGUCGUAAACCUCUUUUAUAAGGGAAUAAAGUCAGGCACGUGUGCCUGUUUGAAUGUACCUUAUGAAUAAGGAUCGGCUAACUCCGUGCCAGCAGCCGCGGUAAUACGGAGGGUCCGAGCGUUAUCCGGAUUUAUUGGGUUUAAAGGGGGCGUAGGGGGGCGUUUAAGUCAGCGGUAAAAUCGUGGGGCUCAACCGCGAACCGCAGUUGAAACUGGGAGUCUUGAGUUCACGACAGGUAGGCGGAAUUCGUGGUGUAGCGGUGAAAUGCAUAGAUAUCACGAAGAACUCCGAUUGCGAAGGCAGCUUGCC
rnacentral:rRNA from 1 species